rnacentral:rRNA from 1 species
UGGGGAAUCUUGCACAAUGGGGGCAACCCUGAUGCAGCGACGCCGCGUGAGCGAUGAAGCCCUUCGGGGCGUAAAGCUCUUUCGACCGGAACGAUAAUGACGGUACCGGGAGAAGAAGCUGCGGCUAACUACGUGCCAGCAGCCGCGGUAAUACGUAGGCAGCAAGCGUUGUUCGGAGUUACUGGGCGUAAAGAGUGCGUAGGCGGUUUUCUAAGUUCGGUGUGAAAUCUCCCGGCUUAACUGGGAGGGUGCGCCGAAGACUGGGAAGCUGGAGUGUGGGAAAGGCAGGCGGAAUUCCUGGUGUAGCGGUGAAAUGCGUAGAUAUCAGGAGGAACACCUGCGGUGUAGACAGCUUUCUGAACCAAAACUGACGCUGAGGCACGAAAGCGUGGGUAGCAAACA